GACGAACGCUGGCGGCGUGCUUAACACAUGCAAGUCGAACGGAAAGGCCCUGCUUUUGUUGGGUGCUCGAUUGGCGAACGGGUGAGUAACACGUGAGUAACCUGCCCUUGACUUUGGGAUAACUUCAGGAAACUGGGGCUAAUACCGGAUAUGAGCUCCUGCUGCAUGGUGGUGGUUGGAAAGUUUCGGCGGUUGGGGAUGGACUCGCGGCUUAUCAGCUUGUUGGUGGGGUAGUGGCUUACCAAGGCUUUGACGGGUAGCCGGCCUGAGAGGGUUACCGGCGACAUGGGGACUGAGAGACGGCCCAGAAUCCUACGGGAGGCAGCAGUGGGGAAUAUUGCACAAUGGGCGGAAGCCUGAUGCAGCAACGCCGCGUGCGGGAUGACGGCCUUCGGGUUGUAAACCGCUUUCGCAUGUGACGAAGAGUGAGUGACGGUAAUGGGUAAAGAAGCACCGGCUAACUACGUG
rnacentral:rRNA from 1 species